GUGAGGAAUUUUCCGCAAUGGGCGAAAGCCUGAUCUAGCCAUGCCGCGUGAGCGAUGAAGGCCUUAGGGUUGUAAAGCUCUUUCAGUGGGGAAGAUAAUGACUGUACCCACAGAAGAAGCCCCGGCUAACUCCGUGCCAGCAGCCGCGGUAAUACGGAGGGGGCUAGCGUUGUUCGGAAUUACUGGGCGUAAAGCGCACGUAGGCGGACUGGAAAGUCAGGGGUGAAAUCCCGGGGCUCAACCCCGGAACUGCCUUUGAAACUCCCAGUCUUGAGGUCGAGAGAGGUGAGUGGAAUUCCGAGUGUAGAGGUGAAAUUCGUAGAUAUUCGGAGGAACACCAGUGGCGAAGGCGGCUCACUGGCUCGAUACUGACGCUGAGGUGCGAAAGCGUGGGGAGCAAACAGGAUUAGAAACCCCGGUAGUCC
rnacentral:rRNA from 1 species